UCCCAGGUGGUUCAGUGGUUAAGGCUCUGUGCUUCCAAUGCAGGGGGCCCAAGUUCAAUCCCUGGUUGGGGAA
rnacentral:tRNA from 1 species